UGUCCCCUGGUAUACUCACAGGAUUCCUGAGGAGAGACUGCGAGUCGUGUGUCCAGUCCCAGCUGGCCCUGGACACAGAUUUGGUCUCCAAUAAAGACAGAGGAGUUACUAGACCAUGAGGAGAAAAUUGGCCCAUGAUGAAGUGGUAACUGAAGAUGGCUUUGACAAAAGAGGAUAUAACUGAGGUCAUUUUGAUGUUUGGUGAACAAAGUUUCCAUGUCAUAGCUGCAGAUAUUAACAACCUGGCACCCACAAAGACCUCCAAUUUCACAUAACACUGUCAAGUGCCUAAUUUCCAAAUUUCGAGAAACUGGGCCUGUAGCUGACAAGUCACGGAAUGGUCGUUCAAAAAGUGCUACUAACGGGACCACCUCAACAAUGGUUUUGGCAUCCUUCGUGAAGAGCCCACAACGCAGCACAACACCCACACAUUAAGCGACUGUCCUUUAUGGAGAACAGUU